AGCUAUACAUGCAGUCGAGCGCGGGAAGCGAGUGGAUCCCUUCGGGGUGAAGCUCGUGGAACGAGCGGCGGACGGGUGAGUAACACGUGGGCAACCUGCCUGUAAGAUCGGAAUAACCCCGGGAAACCGGGGCUAAUGCCGGGUAAUACUUUCUUUCGCAUGAAGGAAAGUUGAAAGAUGGCUUCUUGCUAUCACUUACAGAUGGGCCCGCGGCGCAUUAGCUAGUUGGUGAGGUAACGGCUCACCAAGGCGACGAUGCGUAGCCGACCUGAGAGGGUGAUCGGCCACACUGGGACUGAGACACGGCCCAGACUCCUACGGGAGGCAGCAGUAGGGAAUCUUCCGCAAUGGACGAAAGUCUGACGGAGCAACGCCGCGUGAACGAUGAAGGUCUUCGGAUCGUAAAGUUCUGUUGUUAGGGAAGAACAAGUACCGUGCGAAUAGAGCGGUACCUUGACGGUACCUAACGAGGAAGCCCCGGCUAACUACGUGCCAGCAGCCGCGGUAAUACGUAGGGGGCAAGCGUUGUCCGGAAUUAUUGGGCGUAAAGCGCGCGCAGGCGGUUCCUUAAGUCUGAUGUGAAAGCCCACGGCUCAACCGUGGAGGGUCAUUGGAAACUGGGGAACUUGAGGACAGAAGAGGAGAGUGGAAUUCCACGUGUAGC
rnacentral:rRNA from 1 species